GGAAUAUUGCACAAUGGAUGCCAAUCUGAUGCAGCAACGCCGCGUGAAGGAUGACGGUCUUCGGAUUGUAAACUUCUUUUAUGCGGGACGAGACAGGACGGUACCUCAGGAAUAAGUCUCGGCCAACUACGUGCCAGCAGCCGCGGUAAAACGUAGGAGGCGAGCGUUAUCCGGAUUUACUGGGCGUAAAGCGCGGGUAGGCGGCGGCUUAAGGCAUGCGUGAAAGCUCCCUGGCUCAACCGGGAGAGGUCGUGUGAGACUGGGUCGCUAGAGGCAGGUAGAGGCUGACGGAAUUCCGGGUGGAGUGGUGAAAUGCGUAGAGAUCCGGAGGAACACCAGUGGCGAAGGCGGUCAGCUGGGCCUAGCCUGACGCUCAGACGCGAAAGCAUGGGGAGCGAA
rnacentral:rRNA from 1 species